rnacentral:rRNA from 1 species
UACAGAGGGUGCGAGCGUUAAUCGGAAUUACUGGGCGUAAAGCGUGCGUAGACGGUUGUCUAAGUCGGAUGUGAAAUCCCCGGGCUCAACCUGGGAAUGGCAUUCGAGACUGAAUAGCUAGGGUGCGGAAGAGGGAAGCGGAAUUUCCGGUGUAGCGGUGAAAUGCGUAGAUAUCGGAAGGAACAUCAGUGGCGAAGGCGGCUUCCUGGUCCAGCACCGACGUUCAGGCACGAAAGCGUGGGGAGCAAACAGGAUUAGAUACCCUGGUAGUCCACGCCUUAAAUGAUGAGGACUAGACGUUGGAAGGGUUAGCCUUUCAGUGUCGUAGCUAAUGCGAUAAGUCCUCCGCCUGGGGAGUACGGCCGCAAGGUUG